AUGAAUGACCUCCGCCUGGCAGACGAGCUCAAUGAGUUCUACUGCAGAUUUGAAAGACAAUGUCCUGUUCCCAUCCCCCACAGCUCAACCAACCUGCUGCAGUCCCCCUCCCCUCCCUCCCCCAGCCCAUCAGGUGCUCACGCCUCUUCAUCAUUAUCACCUUCCCCUCCCCCACCAGCAACGACCCUCUCUAUUCUUGAGAGAGACGUUAACCGGCUCUUUAGAAGACUAAAUCCCCGUAAGGCAGCCGGUCCGGACUCCGUUUCCCCUCACUCCCUGAAGCAUUGUGCUGACCAGCUGUCUCCGGUGUUUACUGACAUCUUCAACACCUCCCUGGAGACAUGCCACGUACCAGUCUGCUUCAAGGCCUCCACCAUCAUCCCUGUCCCCAAGAAGCCCAGGAUCACAGGACUCAAUGACUACAGGCCCGUCGCCCUGACCUCUGUAGUCAUGAAGUCUUUUGAACGGCUAGUCCUGUCCCACCUGAAGUCCCUCACCGACCCCCUCCUGGACCCCCUGCAGUUCGCCUACAGAGCCAACAGGUCUGUGGACGAUGCUGUCAACAUGGCCCUCCACUACAUCCUCCAGCAUCUGGACUCCCCAGGAACCUACGCCAGGAUCCUGUUUGUGGACUUCAGCUCUGCUUUUAACACUAUCAUCCCGUCUCUGCUGCAGGACAAACUCUCCCAGCUGCACGUGCCCGACUCCACCUGCAAGUGGAUCACAGACUUCCUGUCUGACAGGAAGCAGCACGUGAAGCUGGGGAAACAUGUCUCAGCCUCUCGGACCAUCAGCACCGGUUCCCCCCAAGGCUGCGUUCUUUCCCCUCUGCUCUUCUCCCUGUACACCAACAGCUGCACCUCCAGCCACCAGUCCGUCAAGCUCCUGAAGUUUGCGGAUGACACCACCCUCAUUGGACUAAUCUCUGGUGGGGACGAGUCCGCCUACAGGUGGGAGUCUGACCAUCUGGUGUCGUGGUGCAGCCAGAACAACCUGGAGCUCAACGCUCUAAAGACAGUGGAGAUGGUUGUGGAUUUCCGGCGGAACAGAGCCCCAACCUCCCCCAUCACCCUGUGUGACUCCCCCGUCACUAUUGUGGAUUCCUUCCGUUUCCUGGGCUCCAUCAUCACCCAGGACCUCAAGUGGGAGCUGAACAUCAGCUCCAUCACCAAGAAGGGUCAGCAGAGGUUGUUCUUCCUGAGGCAGCUGAAGAAACUCAACCUGCCAAAGACGAUGAUGGUCCACUUCUACACGGCCAUCAUCGAGUCCAUCCUCUGCUCCUCCAUCACCGUCUGGUACGCUGCAGCCACAGCCAAGGACAAGGGCAGGCUGCAGCGUGUCAUCCGCUCUGCAGAGAGGGUGAUCGGCUGCAAUCUGCCGUCCCUGGAGGACUUGUUCGCUUCCAGGUCUCUGAAGCGAGCUAAAAAGAUCGCGGCCGACCCCUCCCACCCCGGUCCAUCAGGACUACGACCUCCCGCCACACGAACAGUUUCUUCCCGUCGGCAGUCGGGCUCAUCAACAGAGCCCGGUCCCCCACUGCCUAACUAUAACACUCCACCGGUCACUCCCCCUCACACUGCACAUGCCACUUUAACUGCAAUUCAUCACUUUGUCACUUGUCACUUUGUCUCUUGUCUGUUACUUGUUUGUUAG
ensembl:lncRNA